UCUCCCUUUCAUCAUUCUCCAUUUUGGUAAUUGCAUUGAAAUUUCUUUGCUGUUUCAACUUUUGGUAAAAGUAAGCAGUACAUCUGUCAUUAUCCCUUAGCCAUUUUAACCUGAAUUUCUGAGCCACAAAUAUUUCUUCAUCAGCAAUAGCUGCUUCAUAUUCCUCUCUGGCCUUUUGUUCGUCAUCUAGAAGUACAUCUUAUGGAUCCUUGAGACGGCUAUCUUGAACUAUUUCUAACCUCAGUGUAGACUUCAUAACCUUAUCUCCCACAUCUCCAAAGACAUUUUUAUUCCACUCCUUGACAGCCUUUUUAACAUCCCUGAGCUUACUCAACAGUCUGUGCAUUGGAGAUCCCUCUACCUCAAUAUCCCAUGCUUGUUGAAUCAAAGGGAAUGUCACUACCAGUCUUAUCUUUCUUGUCCCGAUGUACUGCUCUAUCUCUCUGUAUCUUACAUGUGUAAUGUAUUAUGUAUUAUGUAUGUACUUAUAUAUAUAUAUAUAUAUAUGGCUUCAUAUGUUAGUAACGAAUUUCUUUUUGCAGAUGGACUAUUGUUGUAAUCCUUACUAAACAAAACAUAGACACGUAUAAAUCACAUUUCUACCUAGCUGCCACCAUAAAUUGUGCUAUGUGGACUUUUUAUACUAGUCCUAAUGUUCUACAUAACUUCAAGUAAUGCAAGAAACAAUAUUCUAAGAAAUUGAAGUAUGCUCUACAUAACUUCAAGUAAUUUAUUAGCAUAUUUAUUUAUAUAUAGUAGAAAGUUUUUUUAUUAGGUUGGCAUGUGGCCUAUUUCAUUGAGUAUCCGCAAAUUAAUUUUGUCAUGUCUACAUUAUUAUGGAAAGGAUUCCAUUUGACUUCUCUUCAGUAAUUAGCAUAAAAAUAUGUACGUGCAUACACAACUUUUAAAAGUUAAAAAUAUAUCCUUAUAAUGGAAGGAAAAAAAAAAUGACACUUCAGGAGUAUGAGAUAUGAAUGGCUAUCAUUUUGUGAAUCCUUGGGCCAUUCAUUUUUUAUUUCUCUUUCCCUCUAAAAGUUGGGUAUUCAUUUGUAUUGUUAUUUGGUUAUCUAAUUUCUAUAUUUCCUUCUUGUUAGAUUUAUAGUUUUGUAGAAAACGCAAGAAGUAUAUAUUAAGAAUGAAUUUGGAAUAUAAGACAUGAUCCCAAUCUUUGAAUUUGGUGCGAUAGAAAUUUUUUCUUUACCAUGAGGCUCAGGUGUCCGGAAUGUUUGGGACUAACCUUCUUGGGGUGUCUGGAAUGUUUGCUUCACUUGACUUAUGUACCGGACUUUGCAAUCAAUGAUGAUCUUCCAUUGGUGCCUUAACAUGGAGGCUUUGUUGAGGUGCUCAACAUUUGAAAUGCCAAGAACCCUUGUUCUUUAGGCUUAUAAACAUCGACUUAAGCCUUUUUGUUGUUGAGACGACUGAUUACCUGACCAAAGAUAAUUCCUGCACAGGCUGUUAAUAUGAACAUACAAGGAUGGAUGGAUUGAAUAAGUUGAAUCUCUUUGUAAUUUUUUCCACUAAAGCUCUCAGCAUUGUGUUGUAUCCUAAGGUUAGAGAUAACGAGCUGAGUGGAUGGUUCUACUCCACAGAAGAUGAUUGAGCUCUUGGAGUGGUUUAUGCUAAAGCUCAAAAAUGGAUGAAAAGAUGUUUUAAGGCAUUAUAUAUGGUGGAAUACACCAACAGACUCAACACCUCUAAGGAUCCAAUGCGAGACAAGACCCUACUUGAAAUUUUUGCAUAAUUUGUAUGCUUUUAUCAUCUAUAUGGCUGUGGGAUUCCAUACAAUUCUUACUUCCAAACCUGCAAAUAGUAGUAAACUGCAAAAUCAAUACGUUCAAGCUUGCAUUUGCUGUUUUGGACUUGGGGAUUUGAUUGAAUUUAUUGACUUUUUGUAUA